CUCAUAGUAACUCAUACAUAGAGCAUAUAGUGGGUACAUAUACUGAGGCUGUGUCCUCAUAGUAACUCAUACAUAGAGCAUAUAGUGGGUACAUAUACUGAGGCUGUGUCCUCAUAGUAACUCAUACAUAGAGCAUAUAGUGGGUACAUAUACUGAGGCUGUGUCCUCAUAGUAACUCAUACACAGAGCAUAUAGUGGGUACAUAUACUGAGGCUGUGUCCUCAUAGUAACUCAUACAUAGAGCAUAUAGUGGGUACAUAUACUGAGGCUGUGUCCUCAUAGUAACUCAUACACAGAGCAUAUAGUGGGUACAUAUACUGAGGCAGUGUCCUCAUAGUAACUCAUACAUAGAGCAUAUAGUGG